rnacentral:rRNA from 1 species
GUCUACAGCCAUGCGACCCUGAACGAGCCUGAUCUUGUCUGAUCUUGGAAGCUAAGCAGGGUUGGGCCUGGUUAGUACUUGGAUGGGAGACCAUCUACGAAUACCAGGUACUGUAGGUG